ACGUAGGGUGCGAGCGUUAAUCGGAAUUACUGGGCGUAAAGCGUGCGCAGGCGGCGCCAUAAGACAGAUGUGAAAUCCCCGGGCUUAACCUGGGAACUGCGUUUGUGACUGUGGUGCUCGAGUGCGGCAGAGGGGGGUGGAAUUCCACGUGUAGCAGUGAAAUGCGUAGAGAUGUGGAGGAACACCGAUGGCGAAGGCAGCCCCCUGGGUCGACACUGACGCUCAUGCACGAAAGCGUGGGGAGCAAACA
rnacentral:rRNA from 1 species